CUACGGGUGGCAGCAGUGAGGAAUACUGCACAAUGGGGGGAACCCUGAUGCAGCAACGCCGCGUGGAGGAUGACACAUUUCGGUGUGUAAACUCCUUUUAUAUGUCAAGAAAAUGACGGUAGCAUAUGAAUAAGCACCGGCUAACUCCGUGCCAGCAGCCGCGGUAAUACGGAGGGUGCAAGCGUUACUCGGAAUCACUGGGCGUAAAGGACGCGUAGGCGGGUUGGAAAGUCAGGUGUGAAAUCCUACAGCUUAACUGUAGAACUGCACUUGAAACUUCUAAUCUAGAGUAUGGGAGGGGGAGAUGGAAUUAGUGGUGUAGGGGUAAAAUCCGUAGAUAUCACUAGGAAUACCUAAAGCGAAGGCGAUCUCCUGGAACAUUACUGACGCUAAGGCGUGAAAGCGUGGGGAGCAAACAGGAUUAGAUACCCCCGUAGUC
rnacentral:rRNA from 1 species